UGACCAGACUCCUACGGGAGGCAGCAGUGGGGAAUAUUGCACAAUGGGGGAAACCCUGAUGCAGCGACGCCGCGUGAGUGAAGAAGUAUUUCGGUAUGUAAAGCUCUAUCAGCAGGGAAGAUAAUGACGGUACCUGACUAAGAAGCCCCGGCUAACUACGUGCCAGCAGCCGCGGUAAUACGUAGGGGGCAAGCGUUAUCCGGAUUUACUGGGUGUAAAGGGAGCGUAGGUGGCAGGGCAAGUCAGAUGUGAAAACCCGGGGCUCAACUCCGGGAUUGCAUUUGAAACUGUAGUUCUUGAGUACUGGAGAGGCAGACGGAAUUCCUAGUGUAGCGGUGAAAUGCGUAGAUAUUAGGAGGAACACCAGUGGCGAAGGCGGUCUGCUGGACGGCAACUGACGCUGAGGCGCGAAAGCGUGGGGAGCAAACAGGAUUAGAUACCCCGGUA
rnacentral:rRNA from 1 species